UGAGUUCAUCCACUAUGUUCAUCAUCAAUCAGAAGCUCUUUCAUCCACAUACACUUGUAUCGUCGUUGCGGGCACUACAACAGAACAUGUCGUCUGACCAUCAUGUUGUCAGGAAGACUUUCGAUACAAGGAGUCGGUCCAUUAAUUGAAUCGUCGACUCUAAUACCACUUGUUAGGAACAUAACAAAAAAUAAAUAAAUUUAUACGCACGCGGAAGUAUACCCACAAAAAAGAAAAAAACUCAAAAACAA
rnacentral:lncRNA from 1 species